GAUCCAUGGCUCAGGACGAACGCUGGCGGCGCGCCUAACACAUGCAAGUCGAACGAGAGAUGAGGAGCUUGCUCUUCAAAUCGAGUGGCGAACGGGUGAGUAACGCGUGAGGAACCUGCCUCAAAGAGGGGGACAACAGUUGGAAACGACUGCUAAUACCGCAUAAGCCCACGGCUCGGCAUCGAGCAGAGGGAAAAGGAGCAAUCCGCUUUGAGAUGGCCUCGCGUCCGAUUAG
rnacentral:rRNA from 1 species